AUUGAACGCUGGCGGCAGGCCUAACACAUGCAAGUCGAACGGUAACAGGAAGAAGCUUGCUUCUUUGCUGACGAGUGGCGGACGGGUGAGGAAUGUCUGGGAAACUGCCUGAUGGAGGGGGAUAACUACUGGAAACGGUAGCUAAUACCGCAUAACGUCGCAAGACCAAAGAGGGGGACCUUCGGGCCUCUUGCCAUCGGAUGUGCCCAGAUGGGAUUAGCUAGUAGGUGGGGUAACGGCUCACCUAGGCGACGAUCCCUAGCUGGUCUGAGAGGAUGACCAGCCACACUGGAACUGGGACACGGUCCAGACUCCUACGGGAGGCAGCAGUGGGGAAUAUUGCACAAUGGGCGCAAGCCUGAUGCAGCCAUGCCGCGUGUAUGAAGAAGGCCUUCGGGUUGUAAAGUACUUUCAGCGGGGAGGAAGGGAGUAAAGUUAAUACCUUUGCUCAUUGACGUUACCCGCAGAAGAAGCACCGGCUAACUCCGUG
rnacentral:rRNA from 1 species